rnacentral:tRNA from 1 species
GGGGGAUUAGCUCAUUUGAUAGAGCGCUUGCCUGGCAGGCAAGAGGUGGUCGGUUCGAAUCCGAUAUUCUCCA